GGUCGUUAUUGAUUGUUGGCUUAACCGUCAAAGCAUGUCCACCCAAUAAGUUUAAAGUGUUGGUGCAUGUUGAUGAUGAUGAGGGAGGGGUAGGUUUUGAGACUACACAGUAUCAGAUACUAGACAGUGACCAUUUUAUGGGGGUUACCAAACAGAGACGGUGAGAAGGGUAGGGGUCCAUCCAUGCUUCCAUGUUUACCAGCAACUCACUGCCAGACAAAUAUGCCCCAGAGACUAAUCAUUAGCCCCACACCACAAUGCUCAUUAUUAUUUUUCAUUUUAAACCACAAGAUCAAAUCUUGGGUAAAACUAUUAUCUCUCUAUAUAUAACAUUGCCUUUCCUUCACCGCAGGCACACACACAUGGGUUUGCCUUCGUAACAUGUCACCUUCUUCCCAAUCACCAUUAUUAUAAUAAUUGCUCUUCCAACUGCUCGUGAUUCCAAAUACAUAGUUACAUACCCUCCCAAACAUUUUAUAUAUAUUUGCUACGUAUCUCGAUGUUUCAUUAGUCCCAGUUGGAUCUAGUCCAAUUAUUAUUCAUCUAGUCUUAGUCUUAGAGGAGUGUCUCAGAAAUGGCUAACCAGGAAAAGCAACACAAGAGAGGCUUCAUGUACAUCUACAAAGGUGGCAUAGGAAAUCAGAGGAAGAAAGAGUUGGAGCAUGGUGUGGGGCAGGACAAGAAAUCCAAUUCACGCAGUUGGUUGCACAAGAUUUCGAGAACUCGAGUUUUUAAUGGUGGUGGUAAUGGUAACAGAGACGUGGACAUUGGAGGUGGAGGGGAAGAAUUUGUGGAGGCGAGGAAAUCAACUUCUUGUUUAGAGUUAGGAUCACCUGCGGGAGGAUUUGUCGAGGGGAGAAAAUCAGUAUCUUUCGUUGAGACAGCCGCAUCACCCGCAGCAAGAGGAAUCACGGUUGAAGAUGGAAGAAAAUCAGUGUCCCACAUAGAGAAACACUUUGCGGUGGCGGAAAUGGUCGAGGCACGAAAGUCCGUGUCCCACAUCGAAACAUUCUCCUCUGUGGCUGCCUAUCUUCAUGUAAAGGUUUUGGUCUCAGACAUGCCGUCCUUCAUGCAACUGCACGCGUUUCGUUGUGCGAGAAGGACAUUCGAUAGCUUGGAGAAGUUUAGCGCAAAACACAUCGCUCAUAACGUAAAGAAGGAAUUUGACAAAGGGUAUGGUCCUGUCUGGCAUUGCAUUGUAGGCUCAAAUUUUGGUUCAUUCGUCACACAUUCAACUGGCUGCUUUCUUUAUUUUUCAAUGGAAAAUUUAUAUAUUCUACUGUUCAAGACCAAAGUUAAGAAAGCUCUGGAUUAAGGUGAAAGGAUGACUUGUUAAUUUCUUUAAACGUGGCAGGUUUAGAGUUGAAACGUGGCAUGGAUUAGGCCUUUACGCGUGGAAUUAUGUAAAAUGUAAUAAUAUAAAAUUAGGAAAUUCUGAAAUGGGAUUUAGGGUUCAAUCAAAUUGAAUUUUGGAUCGUCAAGGAGCUCUCAGAAUUCAUCCUUAAACGCCUCGACAAUAAAAGCCUCGUCGUCAAACAAGGCUUUGAGAUUGAUCAAGUAUGCGGUUGGAAAGUGUGGUGUAGAGUUUAGAAGGGAAAUGUAGAGACAUUCAGUGGUAAUUCGACCCUUGUUACAAUACAAGGGUCAAUUGGAUCCUCUGAAAGGCGAUGCACUCAACAAGGUUGUUAGAGACACUGCUCAAGAGACUAUUUCUGCUAUAUUUUCUGCAGAUGAUAACAUCAGCAAGCCACUGUCUUCGGCUUCUGCUGAUCUCAAUAGACGGAUCAAAGGGUUUGGGAACAUCAACUAUCAAGCUCCUUCUCAGAGUGAGGUUGUGGAUAUUGGAAGUGCAACCAUUAAGCAAGGACUCAGUGCCUUCACACAAGGCCAUUCUUCGAUUCCCAAAUUGAAUCCCAAAUUCAAUUUGAUUGAACCCUAAAUCCCAUUUUAGAAUUCCCUAAUUUUAUAUUAUUACAUUUUACAUAAUUCCACGCAUAAAGGCCUAAUCCAUGCCACGUUUCAACUC